AGGGAUCAUUGCUGGAACAAACGCCCUCACGGGUGCUACCCAGAAACCCUUUGUGAAUACUACCUAAAAUGUUGCCUCGGCAUUGGUUGGCCUCUUUGAGGUCCCUUUCCCUCGGGGAAGGAGCAGACCGGCCGGUGGCCCUAUAAACUCUUGUUUUUGUAAUAUCAUCUGAGUAAAAAACAUAAAUAAAUCAAAACUUUCAACAACGGAUCUCUUGGUUCUGGCAUCGAUGAAGAACGCAGCGAAAUGCGAUAAGUAAUGUGAAUUGCAGAAUUCAGUGAAUCAUCGAAUCUUUGAACGCACAUUGCGCCCGGUGGUAUUCCACCGGGCAUGCCUGUUCGAGCGUCAUUUCAACCCUCAAAGCUUGCUUUGGUGUUGGGAGGAAUACCCAGUAAAACGGGUACCCUCUGAAAUUUAGUGGCGGGCUCGCUAGAAUUUUGAGCGUAGUAAUUUUACCUCGUUUUUAAAGACUAGUGGGACUUCUUGCCGUAAAACCCCCAACUUUCUGAAAAUUGACCUCGAAUCAGGUAGGAAUACCCGCUGAACUUAAGCAUAUCAAUAAGCGGAGGAAAAGAAACCAACAGGGAUUGCCCUAGUAACGGCGAGUGAAGCGGCAACAGCUCAAAUUUGAAAUCUGGCUUCGGCCCGAGUUGUAAUUUUGCAGAGGAUGUUUAUGGUGCGGUACUUUCCGAGUUCCCUGGAACGGGACGCCACAGAGGGUGAGAGCCCCGUCUGGAUGGAUACCAAACCUGUGUUAAACUCCUUCAACGAGUCGAGUAGUUUGGGAAUGCUGCUCUAAAUGGGAGGUAAAUCUCUUCUAAAGCUAAAUAUAGGCCAGAGACCGAUAGCGCACAAGUAGAGUGAUCGAAAGAUGAAAAGCACCUUGAAAAGGGGGUUAAACAGUACGUGAAAUUGUUGAAAGGGAAGCGUUUAUGACCAGACUUGUGUCGUGUGGCUCAUCCGAGGUUCUCCCCGGUGCACUCCACGCGGCUCAGGCCAACAUCGGUUUUUGUCGGAGGAUAAGAAUAGUAGGAACGUAGCUCUUCCUCGGAAGAGUGUUAUAGCCUAUUAUACGAUACUUUGAUAGAGACCGAGGACCGCGCUUCGGCUAGGAUGUUGGCGUAAUGGUCAUUAGCGACC
rnacentral:rRNA from 1 species